GUCGAAAGAGAAUGUGUUUAUUGGGUCAAUUAAUCAAGGAACCACCAGUACCAAAUUCAUUCUCUACGACAAAAAUGCCCACCCAAUUGGAUCUCACUAGGUCGAGUUCACUCAGUUCUACCCACAAGCAGGAUGGGUAGAGCACGAUCCAAUGGAGAUUCGGGAGCAAGGCAAUUGACAAUUGACAAAGUCACUGUAGAUGGGUACAAUGUUGACGGUGGACUCAAGGCAAUUGGACUCACCAAUCAGAGAGAAACAACGGUCGUUUGGAGCAAAUCUACUGCUUUCCAUCUCUAUAACGCCAUUGUUUGGAUGGAUGUUCGUACCAGUUCUAUUUGCAGGUCCAUUUCUCUAUUCAUUCAUUGAUUCAUCCUGUUUCUUUUUAAUUAUUAUUAUUAUUAUUAUUUUAUCAUUUUGGUUUUGCAAAUUGAAGAUCUGGAACUGUGUUUAUCGAUUCUUAUUAAUACCCAUUUCUUGAAUUGUCUGAUUUUAUAUUGGUUUCCCCCACCCCCCCGGGGAUUGUGAGGAUAUUUUGUUCUUUGGAUGUGAUUUUAUAUUGUCUGAUUUUAUCAAAAACUGUUGCAUGUAAAUUGCACUAACUUUUCCUAGAAUUUGAAACAUAAGCCUUUGAUUUUAGUUAUAUUUGCUUAUAUAGUGGUGCCGAUCAUGUGCAAGAUGGUAAGCAUGCUCUAUUAAAUAAGUUUUAGUUAUUUUCGCAUCUAUAGAUGCAAACACAAUAACACAAUAACUACCAUCUAUUUGGAAUCACUUAAAAUAUACACAUUUUUCAUAAUUAAUAUUCCAGUUAAUUUUUUUUAUAUAUAUUGGGUUGAAAGUGGGAAAUAUAUGAGUAAAUAUAUAAUAAUUCAUUUACAUAAUAAUUUAGAAAACAAAAUUAUAAUUUUUUUAUUUUUUAUACUUAAUCAAUUAGUUUCAACAAUUGAUUGAUGGGACUUUACUCUUGAUGAGUGAUCAAUUAGUUAAAAUUUAUAUAACAAAAAAACUCUGUUUUUUACUCCUGAUGGGACUUUUGUCCCUUUGUAAAAACCAGGACCAUUAGAUUGAAUUCAAUCUAAGGGUUCACAAUGUCUCACUCUCUAUUUGGUCCAAAAUGCAAUCACCUUACAUUUUCAACACACCCUCUCUCUCUCUCUCUCUCUGUCACACACACACACACUCCUCUCAAAUUUUGAACACACUCCUCUUUCAAAUUUUAAACACACACCCUCUCUCUCUCUCGGAGCCCAUUCACGUGCUUCCCUGUCAGCGACUGAACCCCAAACCCCCUAUUGCUCUCUUCUUCUUCUCUUCUCCUCCUUCCCUCUGUCUGCCAUCCCAAUCAUCAUCAACAGUGGCAGCCCCAAACCCCCUGAUUUCAAAUUUUGAACACACACCCUCUCUCUCUCUCUCUCUCUCUCUCUCUCUACCUCCAUUGGAGCCCAUUCCCGUGCUUCCAUGUUAGAACCCAACCAUUGCUGGCGACCGAACCCCAAACCCCCUAUUACUCUCAUCUUCUCUCUUCCUCCUCUCUCUGCCAUCCCAAUCGUCAUCAACAGUGGCAGCCCCAAAGACGAAGACCGAAUACAAGGGUGUUCAACAAAGAAAGAAUCUGGUAGAAAUACUGUUCAGGUGAGCAAACCCAUCUUAUUUGACAACCAAAAUUAAAACCUGUGCCCGUGUAUUUGGGAACCAAAAUUGGGUUGAAAGCAUAUACUGCUGUAUUGGAAUCCUGUGCCCGUGUAUGGGUUUCAUGAAGGUAAAUGUCCAAAAGACUUCACAAUUGCCUGUUUCGAAUAAUGAUAAAGCUUUUUUAAUAUUUAAUUUUUUUUAAAACCUGUUUUGUUUUGGUUUAUCAGUUCUCUUAGGCUGCUAACUUCUCUUUUGCUUAUUUGGUUGUAUUAAUUUCCUUAAUGUUUACAAAUGGAGUGCUUAUUUGGGGAUAAUGUCUAUGAUGCUUUAUUUUGCUUCACUUCACAUUGUGUUCAUAUGAUGCUUUUUAGUUGGUUUAUUAAACAUCAGUAGUUUUGGGAAUGAAAAUUUUCCCCAUUAUAUUUUGGGAAUGUAAACAUCAGUUAAUACACUUUAUAUUUGAGCAAACAAUGGGGAAAAUGGAAACCUGGGCUUUGAUUUUUCUUGAGUAUUUAUAUUUCUAUCUUUGGAUAUCUUUUGUUUCAAUAGUCUUUAAUUUCAAUAAUCAAUAUGUUUGUCCAAUUUAAUUGCUUUAUUGAUGUUUACAAUUUGUGAUUGAAACAUUGUGUCUGAUGUUUACAGUUUAUGUGAUUAUUUAUUUGGUUGGUUGUGUAGGAAAUUUAUAAGUCUGAUCAUUAUUUUAUUUUAUUUUUCUUACAUUUUGUCUCAGUUAAAUCUAAACCACAUUUCAUUUUUCUAUAGAAUUCAUGAGUUAAUUUUUUAAAUUAAUUGAUUUUUAAAUUUAUAUUGUGGUAUCAUACUGUUUGAUUUUUUAAAUUCAUGAGUUCAUUUUUUAAAUUCAUACUUUGGUUUUAAUUUGUGGUAUUAUACUGUUUCAAUAAUCUUUAAUUUCCAGCAUGUUUCAAUAAUCUUUACCCUCUCUUUCAUUGCUACAAUGGUUGUAUUCAAACCCAUUCCUCAUCACUGCUUCGAUGAUUCUUUGUUGCUUCACCGGCUCUUCGUUGCUUCGGUGGUUGUCAUCGGUAGCAUCAAGAUUGUUUGCCUUCAGGUAACACCUCUCUCUUCCCCUCAAGGUCUCAGUCCCCCCCUCUUCCCAACCCCACUUGGAAAUUUUCUUUGUUGUUUAGUCAUUUAUUGAUUGAUUUAAUCAAUAAAUCAAACAUUUUUGGGGUAUUAAUCAAGAAAUCGAACAGUAAUAAAGGGCUAUUUUUGGCCAAUAAGUGUUUGAAAAAAUUUCCAUCCUAUUUGGUAAGAACCCAGGAAAUAUUUUUUGUCCUGUUUGGUUGCUGGGAAAGUGGGGGAUUCAUCAACAAACUGAUGAAUCUAAACAGAUAAAUCACAUCCAUCAAGAAAGAUGUAUCCACAAAAUUCCCAUGAUACUUGGAAUCUAAACUAAGGGAUUGGCCUUUAAUAAAAUAUAUCUUGAGUUAGGUGUGAGCAUACAUGGCUAUUUGUUAAUAAAAUAUAUCUAGAGUUUUUUUUUUUUUUUAGGUGUUAUUAUGUAUUGUUGUUAACUGGAUUUGUUAUUUAGUUGUUGGUAGUGAGCUUGAUUUGGUGAAAUGUGUUGUUUGGAGGAUUUGGAUUUGUCGCAAGUUAUUUGUGUUUUUGUCUACCAUGAGAUAAUUAAUUUUGCCUACAAUUCGCUAGAAAUAUGUUGUAGGCGUGGACAAUUUUUUUUUGUAUAUUUUAAUGUGAAUUGAUGGUUUGAUUCACUACAUUUUUUUAUACAGUUUGGUUUGUAUCCACCAUAUUGGUUUCUAUUGUUUGUUUCAUGAAUAAUUACAAAAAAUAGUGUUCUAGGUGUCAUUAAUUAGCUUUCAAAAGAUGCUUCAUUCAAAUGUGCCAUUAAUUAGCUUUAUUAUAGUUCUUCAUUCAAUUUUGAAGUGCCAUUGAGACCUAUGGUAAAUAUAUGAUAUCUUUGUUCUUCCUCAUCUUUGUCUUCCUCUAGCUUCAUUUAUAUAUAUCUUAGAUUUUUCUAUUUUUCUAUUUUUUUUGUUUUUUCCUCCUCCCCUAAAAAUCAUGUCCCUUAGUGUAAAUUACGCAUGAGUUUGCUUAGUUGGUGAACUUAUAGAGUAGUGAAAAGAAGUAAAUAAAACUUUACGAAUUUAAACUACAUUCUAUUAGCUGGAGCAUUAUAUAAAAUUGUAGGUUUGGCGGAUAGAUAACACCAUUCUUUCCUCUGCUUUGGUCAGAAGGCCAAUGGAAACAGUAACAAAUAGACAAUCAUAAUAUGGCUGUUUGUCAUCUUCUUGAAGAGAUGAUUAGAUAGAGCAUUGAGUAGAUAACCUAUGUGAUGAGGUGGUAUUUAUAAUUUAUUGCCCAUUACAAACCAAGCUGAAUGAAUUUAACAAAUUUAAGAAUCAUCAUUCUUGCGUUUUUCUUUGCUAUGUAAAUAAGGUUUGUUGUUACACUUAAUUUUGAUUUUUGUUUAGCCAUCAUUGUCCAAGAAGAGUGAUUGAAUAAUAACUGAGUUGCGAGUUUGAAUAUGGAUUUGCGAACAUAAUCAAAAUUGAGGACAUCACUUUCUUGUGUUAUUCAAAGUAUUUGAGUGCAUGAUUGAUCAACUUCUAAAUAAAAUAGUUCAACUCAUGAAAAAACCUUGCAGUAUGAUGAGCUUCUUUUUUUCUUUUCUUUCAUAUGCUUAGACUUGAAUAAAAUUUUAAUUGGUAACCUCAUCCCUACUCUAGAUUUUCUUGGUUUUGUUUAAGAAAAUGUAAUCUAUGUGGGUUAGCUAUAAAAUUCAGUACAAUACUUCUUUUUCAUUUUUAUUUUCUUUUUCAAAUCCAUAUUCAAGUUCAUGAUCCAAACAGAGUUUAAAAGAAUUAAAUUGUUGGUGUUUAGUUUCCCGCACAAGAUCAUAACGAGUAAGACAUUGUUGGUGUUUAUUUGCAAUUUUUCAAUUACAUUUUAGUAGUUUUUGCUUUUCUUAAAUUGAAUGGCAGAUAAUUUGAAUACUAGGGAUAAAAGAGGAAGCAAAACCAAUUUAUAGAAGAAAAAAAAUAAAUUAAGUAAUACCAAUCUUUUGAAUCAAAAAUUUUUAGUGUAUGUACAUGAUAUACCUAAAACAAGUAUUUACUCUUCAAUGACAUUUCUUUUAUCUUUUCCUUUUUUCUUUUAUUUUUUUUUUUUCCCAAAAAUGAAAAUUUUUUGGAAAGUCAAUUCUUAGAUCUUUUUAAGGUUAAUAAUUCAAUGCUCAUAAUAUUUUCUUAUGUACAUUGAAAUAUUUCUUUUUCAUAUCUGUCUUUUGUCAAAAAAAGGUUAGCUUAGUUAUAUAUUGGAGAUGUUUUAGCGGUCGACCACCCAGGGGAAGAAUUAUUUUUGAUGAAAUUAUUUGUUGGUUGUAUGGAGCUUGACUUUAUGAAAUAUAUAUUUUUCAUUUGUUUUUUUAUCUAUUUGUCCACUUCAGGUGCAAAAGUAUAUAUUUGUUGACUUUACUACUGCAUGUGUUUCUACUCAUUUGCACUUUGGCAAGUUAGGAUAAUGUGGCAUAUCUAAAAAUUUUAGGAUUUAUUAAUUUGUAAGAAAAAUGGUAAGAUUCAUUAAUAUUUUCUUCUAAUGUUAUAGUCAGAUUGUGUUACAAAUACUUGAAAAUUUUAGGCUGAUUCAUUAUUUUUAUUUAAUGUUUGGAGUCCAAUUAUUAUUUUCAAACUGUGUAUAUGUGCAAAUCUUUUGUUAUUUGUUCAUUUAAUAAAUAGAUUCUACGAAUCAAAGUAGUAAGUGAUUGAUGUGUUUUAUUGAUAGUUUCAGUUGAAAACACAACUCAUUUUGAUAAAUUAUUUAAUUUUCGUAAAAUUUGAUGGCGGAAAAUGAUUUGUAGGUUAUUAGUUUGGCAUUUGCAUAUCUAUGUGAUUUUUUUAUUAAUUCCUUCAAUGAUAUAUUUUAUUCAUGGUAUAUGAAUUAGCUUUAUAACUUUUGUUAAUAAUGGCCUUUUUUUGUCAAUAAUGGCCCUUUUUUUUUGUCGGAAUAAUUAGGGAUGUCCUGCUUAAAGUGUUUCAAGUUCUUUGGGAAAUGUUCUACUUAUAUUUGUAAUCUACACCAGCCAUUUUUUUAUAUUUAUAUAGAUUUUCAGAAAUUAUUGAGUUAAUAGUCUAAAUGGGAUGGGAUUGAAGUUUCUGAAAAUAUGUUUUAUGUGUUGCUGGAAAUUGAUUUGCUUCUCCUGUAUUUUGGGUCUUUAACUUCUAACUUAGUUCUACAUAGAUUUGCUUCUUUCUACUUCUCUUAUAUUUUUUCCUUGCAAUAUAACUUCUCUCUUACAAGAUGUGCUUGGCUGAAAAAAUUA